rnacentral:rRNA from 1 species
UACGUAGGGGGCAAGCGUUGUCCGGAUUUAUUGGGCGUAAAGAGCGUGUAGGCGGUUUGGUAGGUCCGCUGUGAAAACUCGAGGCUCAACCUCGAGACGCCGGUGGAAACCAUCAGGCUAGAGUCCUGAAGAGGAGAGUGGAAUUCCUGGUGUAGCGGUGAAAUGCGCAGAUAUCAGGAGGAACACCGGUGGCGAAGGCGGGACUCUGGGCCGAUACUGACGCUGAGGAGCGAAAGCGUGGGGAGCAAACAGG